GAACAUGUACUUUUGUAUAAUUUAUAAUAAUUAAUUAUAUGUUAUAGAUAAAGAUUUUACAAGCUUAUUUAAGUUUUAUCUAACUAAGAAAGAUUCAAGGAGUAUAAACAGGAAGAAACAUUACAAUUCAAUUAAAUAAAUUUGAUAUUCUAACUACUAAAUGCUAUACAAUUAAACCAUUUAAAUCAUUAGUAACUGUAUUACUGAGAAGAUGAAAAUUUAUAUUAAUGAAAUACAAACAUUUUGAUUAGCCCCACAAAAGGUCUUAGGAAACAAAAUCGGGUUGAAUUUGAUAGAAUGUCAGCAUGUGCAAUAGCCACACCAGCAAGGCAUAUUCCUAUUGCUCAUCCUUCCUCACAACCAAAAGAAGAUAUGUUGAGAUUAUUAUCUCCUUAUUGAUAUUAGGGUUAAACUACUUUUGAACACGAGUCAAUCAUCUUCAUUUGCAUCGAAUCUCGAACUCUUAAUUCAGAUAAAUUUAGUAUUUUAAUUUUUUUCCUUCAACUAAAACCUUAGCUCCAAGAUAAACUCUAAUAAUAUGAGAAUAAAAUGAAAAAUCCCAAAUCUCAAAUUAAUCUGCAUAUGAGAUAUUACUAAGAAAGGAGAGUUGAAAUUUUACCUUAGCAGCCAAAUAUUCAAAACGAAACGAUCAAAUAAAUCUGAGCACCUAAUCCAACAUGUCCAUACUAACGGUAUUUUUUUAAUACCGAAAAUUCUAUCUACCAACAAUUAGAGACCGACAUUAACAAAUAAUUAAAAAAAAAGAUUCAAAACAAUUAACCGAAAUUCACUUUUUACAAAUUAAGCAUUCAUCUAAAACAAAGGAGAUAAUAUAUGAAAGAAAGAAAGAAACUAAAAUACCCAAAAAGGAAAAGAAUUACCUCUAGGAUGUAGAAGAAAAAUAAUUCAAUCGUCCAGCAUUGUUAUUGUGCACAAGUUGCAUUUUUCAUGUCAGUCUCACAAAAUUAAGCCUUAGCGGUUAGUUAUUCGUCUAUAUCUUAAUUAAUUAGUCCACUUUGCCUACAAUAUUCACUUGUCUUUCAAUAGAUUUACAAAUGAUAAUGCAGAGUGUUGUUACUCAAGUACACCAUUACUUUUCUAAAGCAAGUUUGUUUUCUUCAAACUUUAUAUACUUUAAAAAGAGAGAAAACUAAUAAUUCUACUUUAUUCUCACGACCAAAAAAAAGAUAUUUUUUUGUGUAUAUGUCAUAGCUUGGGUAGAAACCCACCUAAAAAGUCAUUAACAUUAUUUAUCACUUUACAAACUAGGAGACUCCAAAAACAUAAUAUAGAAUGAGGCAUACCUUUAUCAGAUUUCGAAACUAUGGAUGCCGCUAGAACAACCUGCAGAACAUAUACAAACUUUUUGUAGCUAUCAUCACAAUGCUUUCAGAAUCAAUUAAUAUUCUCUAACUUUUGGCAAAACAAUAACAAAUUUAAAUCUGAAAUAUGAAGUUAUAAAUUUAUCGAGCACCAUAAGGCACUAACAUAUAUAUUACCACCUUCGCUGCUUAGUAAAUUUAUUCGGAGCAGAUACAAACAAUAGGUGAUAUAUCACCUUGCUUCGAGCGCAAAUUUGACGCCUUUAGAAAUAACAUAAAACUUCUCAAACAAUUACUUAUGAGUAUGAGAUUGAAAGUUGUUACCAAUGCGAUAAAUGCAACAAAGAAUCAAAUUAAAUGACAGUUGCUUGCCAUGAGAUAUUUGUUUUGCGAUUGGAUCUAGCUAUCAUCUUCUUCCAUCUUCCCCUCGCAUUCUACUACGCAAGAGCAAAAUGAAUUGUCUGUAUUUUAGAACAUGCAAAAGAAGUGAAAAUAUAGAAAGAAUAGAACAUGAACGGUUUCUGCAAAAAAUGAAGGUUCGUGUGUUUUCAUCUUUCUUUAUUGAAUGUCUGUCAAUUUAAUUAAUUAAUUAAACGGUUGAUAUUUCUUUUACAUGAAGCACCUUUUAAGAAUUGACUUUUGAUUUUUAAUAUAGC
rnacentral:lncRNA from 1 species